rnacentral:rRNA from 1 species
UACGAAGGGGGCUAGCGUUGCUCGGAAUCACUGGGCGUAAAGGGUGCGUAGGCGGGGCUUUAAGUCAGGGGUGAAAUCCUGGAGCUCAACUCCAGAACUGCCUUUGAUACUGAAGAUCUUGAGUUCGGGAGAGGUGAGUGGAACUGCGAGUGUAGAGGUGAAAUUCGUAGAUAUCUGCAGGAACACCCGUGGCGAAAGCGGCGCGCUGGACCACUACUGACGCUGAGGAACGAAAGCUAGGGGAGCAAACAGG